CUUAACUCUCCUCCAAAAUUCCAAAAUAGAAAAUACCCAAUUUCGCUAAGCUGGUCCAAGAUGACUACUUGACUAGUACGACAUUUUAUUUAGCUACGAUACUUUUCCAUCCCUUAUUAAAAUUAAUACAAGUAGAAUAUUAGCAAGAAUUAGCUGUUUAAAUGGGAAACUAUUCAUUCAAGUUGAUUAAAUUUUGCCUAUAUUUGACCAAAAAAUCAAUUUAUCUAAAUUGAAAAAUUAGAAGAAAAUCACGUGUGCCACGCUACAAAUAACCAAUCCCCUCAAAAUCCUUACCAUAUUCCCCUCUUUUCUUCUUCUUUCUCUCUUUCUCUGUUCUUCUCAUUGACCUUUAUUACAGGUUAAACAUCGCCGUUAAUUGACCAAGGGUUGAGCUUGGACUGAUCUGUUCUAUUGAAAUGUCUGCAGCACAAGCACUACUGUAUCAAAACUUGAUGGCUGAGAAGAUGCCUACUAAGGAUAGUAUUGCAGAUUCAACUCGGGAAUCACUCAUCGCUUUAUCAAACUCUUUACCUGAUAAGAUUUCUAAUUCACCUGAUAAGUUCCCUAAUUCACCUCAUUCUUCAGAGAAGGUCACCUAUGUUGGUAAUACAGUAAAUGAAAAGGAUGGUACCGUGGACUAUUGGUCUGAACUAAUUUCAUUGUCCUACCCAACACCUGAUGCUGAUUCGGUACCUCAAGUUAAAAGUUAGCUGCAAGAUGGUGUAUUAUAUAGGUCUAUAAUAACUGACCGAAAACAGAAUACUAAUCUCACAUGUUGAUGUGUUGGAUAUUGUAAGUUACCUGCUAAUUGCCUAUACAUAAAAGGCAGGGUUUUCCUGCUUUGUUCUGGUAAUCACAAGUGAUUCGAUUGUCUUCUGUGCUUCAAAUAAUCAAAUGUAAUAUUAGUAUAUGUCUCCACUUGAAAUUAUGUAUUCAUGAUCAAUGCUCAGGUGAUCUCUUGUAAAUCAAGGAAAUGCACUGCCAAGUUCUGAACAGAAACUGC